rnacentral:rRNA from 1 species
UACGGAGGGGGCUAGCGUUGUUCGGAAUUACUGGGCGUAAAGAGCUCGUAGGCGGCUUGUCGCGUCGUUCGUGAAAACCCGGGGCUCAACUCCGGGCUUGCGGGCGAUACGGGCAGGCUAGAGUUCGGUAGGGGAGACUGGAAUUCCUGGUGUAGCGGUGAAAUGCGCAGAUAUCAGGAGGAACACCGGUGGCGAAGGCGGGUCUCUGGGCCGAUACUGACGCUGAGGAGCGAAAGCGUGGGGAGCGAACAGG